GAUGAAGAACGUAGCGAAAUGCGAUAAGUAAUGUGAAUUGCAGAAUUCAGUGAAUCAUCGAAUCUUUGAACGCACAUUGCGCCCUUUGGCAUUCCGAAGGGCACACCUGUCCGAGCGCCGUCCCACAACUGAGGCGCAGCCUUGCGUUGGCGGGCGACUUGUGAGUAGCGAGUCGCCGCCCAAACGAGACGGCGCCGCGCCGCGGCCGACGAAGCACGAAAGCGGAAGUCGACGCGGAGGCGGUUGCCUGUAGGAAGACACAGCUUGGCCUCGGAUCAGGUGGGGAUACCCGCUGAACUUAAGCAUAUCAAUAAGCGGAGGA
rnacentral:misc_RNA from 1 species